UCACGCUGACGCUACAUCUUUUCUUUCGUUCGCGUACGAUCGACGUCUGCACGUGUCGUUCCAUUAAGCGACGCUCUCGAACAUAUUUUAUUCGUCAAAAGGUGCUUUCGAAUAGAUUUUACUUUCACUCUUGUAAAACUCGAGGGAUUAUGGAAAGAAGGAAUUUUUGACGAAUGAAGAGUUCGGAGGAGUUUGACGGGAAUAUCUGAAAAUUUCGGGAGAGGCGAGCGUUCACUUUUUGAUUGUACACUGUAAAUUUAAUCACCGUUGUUAUUUCACGAUUUUCCUUUUCGUUAUUUUCAUCAUUUGUUGCAUCAUUCAUUGUCGUUCAUUUAUUUGGCAAAUUAUCUUACAUUAUUUUUCUUAAAUUAUGCUAUUUAUUUACGUUUCGCGGGCAUACGCGUUUUGGCGGCAAACGAGAGUCACGUGAUUACCGCGAAUUGCAGUCGCUGGUAGUUAACAAAUAUGGCGGGCGAGCUGAUGUGGCGGAGCGCGGGUGGCUCUUCUUUUCGAGUAAAAUUCCCGCGGAAUUUACGCGAUCGCGUGUAAUUCCUUGUCGCAGUCGCGAAGUAUGCGAGUACGAGUGCCAUCGAGUGAAUCGCGCUUUCACCAAAGAUACGACAUUCUCACGGACAGCCUGUUAUUAUCAUUCGGCGCAGUUUUAUCGUCGCGAUGUCGUAUGAAAUGACUGACGAGAUUUACGACAAGAGGUUUCGACGAAUGAAACGCAUGUUACUUGGUAUCCAGAACUCCAGAUUUCGCCGCGGUGUCGCAUGAAGUGACUGACGAGAUUUACGACAAGAGGUUUCGACGAAUGAAACGCAUGUUACUUGGGUGAGUAUGUUUACGAAUAAAAUUGAUUUGCUGUUAGGAAUGUAACCUGAGAAUAAUCACUUAACGUUUUUUACAUCUCAACAUCAGAAAAAUAAAAUGUUGUCUAUAUCUCCCCCCCCCUCUCCCACACACACACACACAUCAAAA